ACUUGUUCUUUAAAUGAGGACUAGUAUGAACGGCACCACGAAGGUUAUACUGUCUCCUUUUUCCAAUCAAUGAAACUGAUUUUCCCGUGAAGAAGCGGGAAUACUUCUAUAAGACGAGAAGACCCUAUGGAGCUUCAAAUCAAGUAGCAUUGGCUAUAUAUUAUUUUAAUUAACUUUUAUUACUGCCCUCUGACUAUUAACUUUGGGUUGGGGUGACCGCGGAACAAAAACUAACCUCCAUGGUGAACAAACAUUUUCCUGAGCCAAAAGCCACAACUUUAAGCACCAAAACAUUGACACAAAUUGACCCAAUAACUUGAGCAACGAACCAAGUUACCCUAGGGAUAACAGCGCAAUCCACUUCAAGAGCUCCUAUCGACAAGUGGGUUUACGACCUCGAUGUUGGAUCAGGG
rnacentral:rRNA from 1 species